rnacentral:rRNA from 1 species
UACGUAGGGCGCAAGCGUUGUCCGGAAUUAUUGGGCGUAAAGAGCUUGUAGGCGGUUUAUCGCGUCUGCUGUGAAAAUCCGGGGCUCAACCCCGGACUUGCAGUGGGUACGGGCAGACUAGAGUGUGGUAGGGGAGACUGGAAUUCCUGGUGUAGCGGUGGAAUGCGCAGAUAUCAGGAGGAACACCGGUGGCGAAGGCAGGUCUCUGGGCCGCUACUGACGCUGAGGAGCGAAAGCAUGGGGAGCGAACAGG